rnacentral:misc_RNA from 1 species
AACGCAUAUUGCGCCCUUUGGUAUUCCGAAGGGCAUGCCUGUUCGAGCGUCAUUAUCACCCCUCAAGCCCGGCUUGUUAUUGGGCCUCAUCGUGAAGAGCGAUGGGCCUGAAAGUGAAUGGCGGUGUUCAGUGCGGACCCCAGAUGUAGUGAGCUUCAAGCAUUCAUCGAGGGUCGGCUGGACCUGGCCUUUUGUCAAAUUAUCUGAAGAUUGACCUCGGAUCAGGUAGGAAUACCCGCUGAACUUAA